rnacentral:rRNA from 1 species
CCUACGGGAGGCAGCAGUGAGGAAUAUUCGUCAAUGGGCGCGAGCCUGAACCAGCCAAGUCGCGUGAGGGAAGACGGUCCUAUGGAUUGUAAACCUCUUUUGUCGGGGAGAAAAAUACGCCACGCGUGGCGUUCCGAGAGUACCCGAAGAAAAAGCAUCGGCUAAGUCAGUGACAGCACCCGAGGUAAGACGGGGGAUGCGAGCGUUAUCCGGAUUUAUUGGGUUUAAAGGGAGCGCAGGGGGAAGAUCAAGUCAGCGGUAAAAUUAAGAGGCUCAACCGCGUCGUGCCGUUGAAACUGGUUGUCUUGAGUGAGCGAGAGGUAUGCGGAAUGCGUGGUGUAGCGGUGAAAUGCAUAGAUAUCACGAAGAACUCCGAUUGCGAAGGCAGCAUACCGGUGCUCAACUGACGCUGAUGCACGAAAGUGUGGGUAUCGAACAGGAUUAGAUACCCCUGUAGUC